rnacentral:rRNA from 1 species
UACGGGGGGGUGCAAGCGUUAAUCGGAAUUACUGGGCGUAAAGGGCGCGUAGGCGGCCUGCUAAGUCACACGUGAAAUCCCUCGGCUCAACCGGGGAACUGCGUGUGAUACUGGCGGGCUUGAAUUCGGGAGAGGGAUGUGGAAUUCCAGGUGUAGCGGUGAAAUGCGUAGAUAUCUGGAGGAACACCGGUGGCGAAGGCGGCAUCCUGGACCGGCAUUGACGCUGAGGCGCGAAAGCGUGGGGAGCAAACAGG